AAAGAUAUCUGGUUGAUCCUGCCUGAACUGAUGUGUUCAUUUCAAAGAUUAAGCCAUGCAUGUAUAAGUUUAAUCGUUUUAACGAGAAACCGCGAACGGCUCAUUACAAUGGCCAUGAUUUACUUGAUCUUGAUUAUCUAAAUGGAUAACUGUGGAAAAGCUAGAGCUAAUACAUGCACCAGAGCUUUGUCCUCUCGGAAAAGCGCAUUUAUUAGAACAAAACCACGCGGCUUCGGCUGCUUCUUGUUGACUCAGAAUAACUAAGCUGACCGCAUGGCCUUGUGCCGGCGGCGUGUCUUUCAAGCGUCCACUUUAUCAACUUGACGGGAGCAUAAUCGACUCCCGUGGUGGUGACGGAUAACGGAGGAUCAGGGUUCGACUCCGGAGAAGGGGCCUGAGAAAUGGCCACUACGUCUAAGGAUGGCAGCAGGCGCGCAAAUUACCCACUCUCGGCUCGAGGAGGUAGUGACGAGAAAUAACGAAACUGUUCUCUUUGAGGCCGGUCAUCGGAAUGGGUACAAUUUAAACCCUUUAACGAGUAUCAAGCAGAGGGCAAGUCUGGUGCCAGCAGCCGCGGUAAUUCCAGCUCUGCUAAUACAUAGAAUUAUUGCUGCGGUUAAAAAGCUCGUAGUUGGAUUCGUAUCGGUACCUUGGAACCCUUCGGGUGUUUCUGGGUGUUAUCGAUUUAUCGUAAUGUUCGGUUUUGAGUCCUUAACAGGAUUUUUAACAGUCAUUGCAAGUUUACUUUGAACAAAUCAGAGUGCUUCAAACAGGCGUUUUCGCUUGAAUGAUCGUGCAUGGAAUAAUAGAAAACGAUUUCGGUUCAGUUUUAUUGGUUUUACGGACUGAGAUAAUGGUUAACAGAGACAAACGGGGGCAUUUGUAUGGCCCCGUGAGAGGUGAAAUUCUUGGACCGUGGCCAGACAAACUACAGCGAAAGCAUUUGCCAAGAAUGUCUUCAUUAAUCAAGAACGAAAGUCAGAGGUUCGAAGGCGAUCAGAUACCGCCCUAGUUCUGACCGUAAACGAUGCCAACUAGCGAUCCGCUGAUGGAAAUUAUAUUGCCUUGGUGGGGAGCUUCCCGGAAACGAAAGUCUUCCGGUUCCGGGGGAAGUAUGGUUGCAAAGCUGAAACUUAAAGGAAUUGACGGAAGGGCACCACCAGGAGUGGAGCCUGCGGCUUAAUUUGACUCAACACGGGGAAACUCACCCGGCCCGGACACUGUGAGGAUUGACAGAUUGAUAGCUUUUUCAUGAUUCAGUGGAUGGUGGUGCAUGGCCGUUCUUAGUUCGUGGAGUGAUUUGUCUGGUUUAUUCCGAUAACGAGCGAGACUCUAACCUACUAAAUAGUUGGUACAUACUCUUUGUGUAUACAGCUUCUUAGAGGGAUUUGCGGCGUUCAGCCGAAAGAAAUUGAGCAAUAACAGGUCUGUGAUGCCCUUAGAUGUCCGGGGCUGCACGCGCGCUACACUGGCAAAAUCAACGUGCUUGUCCUACCCUGAAAGGGGCGGGUAAACCAUUGAAAAUUUGCCGUGAUUGGGAUCGGAAAUUGCAAUUAUUUUCCGUGAACGAGGAAUUCCAAGUAAGUGCGAGUCAUCAGCUCGCGUUGAUUACGUCCCUGCCCUUUGUACACACCGCCCGUCGCUGCCCGGGACUGAGCCAUUUCGAGAAAUUUGGGGACCGUUGAUUUAAUUUAUCUAAAUUAUUUUGAUGGAAACCAAUUUAAUCGCAGUGGCUUCAACCGGGCAAAAGUCGUAACAAGGUAGCUGUAGGUGAACCUGCUGCUGGAUCAUUACUUUA